UUGUUUGCCCACGUAUGGGAGAAGAAAAAGGCAGGGUGUUCUCAUUUUCCAGUACUUUAUUGCUAUUUUGUUAUUAGCAUGGUUACUACCAACAACCAGUUCCAAACUCCAGGAGAAGUUACAAAGCCAGUUUGUUCAGAGUGACCUGGUGGGACAUCAGACAGCCAACAACAGCAUCUUUGUACUGACUGUGGAGUUAAAGUACUGCACCACAUUCCCCAGUGUUUUGGUGCUCUAAUCUUCCAGACUGAUUAAUCUUCAGAAGACUUGUCCAUGGAAACCAGGGAUCAGGUGACAUUCAGUUCUCGAGGAUGUGUAUUUAGACCCAAGAGCUGUGUAAAACCUCCAAAUGCUGCAGAACAAUCAUAAAAACAGAGACUAAUGUACCAACUCAUCAAAACGUGUGUCUACAUCUGGGCAAAAGUGAUCUACCUGUUAAAAAGUGAUCCUUCUAUAAUGAAAGGCCAGAUUCAACUCUCUUGAAUAAAAUAAAAAAAAAAAA